UACGGAGGAUGCAAGCGUUAUCCGGAGUGAUUGGGCGUAAAGGGUCCGCAGGCGGAAUUUCAAGUCUGCUGUCAAAGCGUGAAGCUUAACUUCAUAAAGGCAGUGGAAACUGAGAAUCUAGAGUACGUUCGGGGCAGAGGGAAUUCCCAGUGUAGCGGUGAAAUGCGUAGAGAUUGGGAAGAACACCAGUGGCGAAAGCGCUCUGCUAGGCCUGUACUGACGCUGAGGGGCGAAAGCUAGGGGAGCGAAUGGG
rnacentral:rRNA from 1 species